rnacentral:pre_miRNA from 1 species
UUUGUGGGGAAUGUUGUCUGGCUCGAGGACCCUUUUUUUUGGCAUCAAUCUACUAUAUAGCUUCAACACAUAAUUCCAUAUAGUUUAAUGGAUUGAUCAUGUGUUAGUGUUGUCGGACCAGGCUUCAUUCCCCCCAAU